UAAAGAGAGAGCAGCGUUGGGG
rnacentral:piRNA from 1 species